rnacentral:rRNA from 1 species
AUGACUUGUGGCUGGGGGUGAAAGGCCAAUCAAACCGGGAGAUAGCUGGUUCUCCCCGAAAGCUAUUUAGGUAGCGCCUCGUGAAUUCAUCUCCGGGGGUAGAGCACUGUUUCGGCAAGGGGGUCAUCCCGACUUACCAACCCGAUGCAAACUGCGAAUACCGGAGAAUGUUAUCACGGGAGACACACGGCGGGUGCUAACGUCCGUCGUGAAGAGGGAAACAACCCAGACCGCCAGCUAAGGUCCCAAAGUCAUGGUUAAGUGGGAAACGAUGUGGGAAGGCCCAGACAGCCAGGAUGUUGGCUUAGAAGCAGCCAUCAUUUAAAGAAAGCGUAAUAGCUCACUGGUCGAGUCGGCCUGCGCGGAAGAUGUAACGGGGCUAAACCAUGCACCGAAGCUGCGGCAGCGACGCUGAUGCGUUGUUGGGUAGGGGAGCGUUCUGUAAGCCUGUGAAGGUGUGCUGUGAGGCAUGCUGGAGGUAUCAGAAGUGCGAAUGCUGACAUAAGUAACGAUAAAGCGGGUGAAAAGCCCGCUCGCCGGAAGACCAAGGGUUCCUGUCCAACGUUAAUCGGGGCAGGGUGAGUCGACCCCUAAGGCGAGGCCGAAAGGCGUAGUCGAUGGGAAACAGGUUAAUAUUCCUGUACUUGGUGUUACUGCGAAGGGGGGACGGAGAAGGCUAUGUUGGCCGGGCGACGGUUGUCCCGGUUUAAGCGUGUAGGCUGGUUUUCCAGGCAAAUCCGGAAAACUAAGGCUGAGGCGUGAUGACGAGGCACUACGGUGCUGAAGCAACAAAUGCCCUGCUUCCAGGAAAAGCCUCUAAGCAUCAGGUAACAUCAAAUCGUACCCCAAACCGACACAGGUGGUCAGGUAGAGAAUACCAAGGCGCUUGAGAGAACUCGGGUGAAGGAACUAGGCAAAAUGGUGCCGUAACUUCGGGAGAAGGCACGCUGAUAUGUAGGUGAAGUCCCUCGCGGAUGGAGCUGAAAUCAGUCGAAGAUACCAGCUGGCUGCAACUGUUUAUUAAAAACACAGCACUGUGCAAACACGAAAGUGGACGUAUACGGUGUGACGCCUGCCCGGUGCCGGAAGGUUAAUUGAUGGGGUCAGCGCAAGCGAAGCUCUUGAUCGAAGCCCCGGUAAACGGCGGCCGUAACUAUAACGGUCCUAAGGUAGCGAAAUUCCUUGUCGGGUAAGUUCCGACCUGCACGAAUGGCGUAAUGAUGGCCAGGCUGUCUCCACCCGAGACUCAGUGAAAUUGAACUCGCUGUGAAGAUGCAGUGUACCCGCGGCAAGACGGAAAGACCCCGUGAACCUUUACUAUAGCUUGACACUGAACAUUGAGCCUUGAUGUGUAGGAUAGGUGGGAGGCUUUGAAGUGUGGACGCCAGUCUGCAUGGAGCCGACCUUGAAAUACCACCCUUUAAUGUUUGAUGUUCUAACGUUGACCCGUAAUCCGGGUUGCGGACAGUGUCUGGUGGGUAGUUUGACUGGGGCGGUCUCCUCCUAAAGAGUAACGGAGGAGCACGAAGGUUGGCUAAUCCUGGUCGGACAUCAGGAGGUUAGUGCAAUGGCAUAAGCCAGCUUGACUGCGAGCGUGACGGCGCGAGCAGGUGCGAAAGCAGGUCAUAGUGAUCCGGUGGUUCUGAAUGGAAGGGCCAUCGCUCAACGGAUAAAAGGUACUCCGGGGAUAACAGGCUGAUACCGCCCAAGAGUUCAUAUCGACGGCGGUGUUUGGCACCUCGAUGUCGGCUCAUCACAUCCUGGGGCUGAAGUAGGUCCCAAGGGUAUGGCUGUUCGCCAUUUAAAGUGGUACGCGAGCUGGGUUUAGAACGUCGUGAGACAGUUCGGUCCCUAUCUGCCGUGGGCGCUGGAGAACUGAGGGGGGCUGCUCCUAGUACGAGAGGACCGGAGUGGACGCAUCACUGGUGUUCGGGUUGUCAUGCCAAUGGCACUGCCCGGUAGCUAAAUGCGGAAGAGAUAAGUGCUGAAAGCAUCUAAGCACGAAACUUGCCCCGAGAUGAGUUCUCCCUGACUCCUUGAGAGUCCUGAAGGAACGUUGAAG